AGGGUUUGAUCCUGGCUCAGGAUGAACGCUAGCGGGAGGCUUAAUACAUGCAAGUCGAGCGGCAAGGUCUUCGGACCCUAGAGCGGCGCACGGGUGAGUAACGCGUACGCAAUCUGCCCUUCAGUGAGGAAUAGCCCUGGGAAACUGGGAUUAAUACCUCAUAACAUUAUGAUAUCGCAUGAUAUUAUAAUUAAAGUUCUGGCGCUGAAGGAUGAGCGUGCGUCUGAUUAGCUAGUUGGUAGGGUAACGGCCUACCAAGGCUACGAUCAGUAGGGGGCGUGAGAGCGUGACCCCCCACACGGGUACUGAGACACGGACCCGACUCCUACGGGAGGCAGCAGUAAGGAAUAUUGGGCAAUGGAGGCAACUCUGACCCAGCCAUCCCGCGUGAAGGAUUAAGGCCCUAUGGGUUGUAAACUUCUUUUGUUUGGGAAGAAAUCAGGACAUUUAUGUGCUGUUGACGGUACCUUACGAAUAAGCACCGGCUAACUACGUGCCAGCAGCCGCGGUAAUACGUAGGGUGCAAGCGUUAAUCGGAAUUACUGGGCGUAAAGCGUGCGCAGGCGGUUAUGUAAGACAGAGGUGAAAUCCCCGGGCUCAACCUGGGAACUGCCUUUGUGACUGCAUAGCUGGAGUGCGGCAGAGGGGGAUGGAAUUCCGCGUGUAGCAGUGAAAUGCGUAGAUAUGCGGAGGAACACCGAUGGCGAAGGCAAUCCCCUGGGCCUGCACUGACGCUCAUGCACGAAAGCGUGGGGAGCAAACAGGAUUAGAUACCCUGGUAGUCCACGCCCUAAACGAUGUCAACUGGUUGUUGGGUCUUCACUGACUCAGUAACGAAGCUAACGCGUGAAGUUGACCGCCUGGGGAGUACGGCCGCAAGGUUAAAACUCAAAGGAAUUGACGGGGACCCGCACAAGCGGUGGAUGAUGUGGUUUAAUUCGAUGCAACGCGAAAAACCUUACCCACCUUUGACAUGUACGGAAUCCUUUAGAGAUAGAGGAGUGCUCGAAAGAGAGCCGUAACACAGGUGCUGCAUGGCUGUCGUCAGCUCGUGUCGUGAGAUGUUGGGUUAAGUCCCGCAACGAGCGCAACCCUUGCCAUUAGUUGCUACGAAAGGGCACUCUAAUGGGACUGCCGGUGACAAACCGGAGGAAGGUGGGGAUGACGUCAAGUCCUCAUGGCCCUUAUAGGUAGGGCUUCACACGUCAUACAAUGGUCGGUACAAAGGGUUGCCAACCCGCGAGGGGGAGCUAAUCCCAUAAAGCCGAUCGUAGUCCGGAUCGCAGGCUGCAACUCGCCUGCGUGAAGUCGGAAUCGCUAGUAAUCGUGGAUCAGCAUGUCACGGUGAAUACGUUCCCGGGUCUUGUACACACCGCCCGUCACACCAUGGGAGCGGGUUCCGCCAGAAGUAGGUAGCCUAACCGCAAGGAGGGCGCUUACCACGGCGGGGUUCGUGACUGGGGUGAAGUCGUAACAAGGUAACCA
rnacentral:rRNA from 1 species